rnacentral:pre_miRNA from 1 species
AAUGGAAUUGCUGGGUUUUGUGGUAGCUCUUUAAACUUUUUAAGGAACUGCCAAAUUGUUUUCCAAAGUGACUAUACCAUUUUACAUUCCCACCAGCAAU